ACCUGUUGAGAGACCCCUGAGCAAUUCACCAGUCUUCACAGAAUCCCUGCUAGAAGGCAGAUCUAAAGAAGCCAUCUAUCUAUCCCCGUUGAAGAUUUUCAUCAAGAUAUUGAGAAAAUAAUGCUUUGCCUGAUCACCUAGGAAAAUCCUAGUUUGCUUUGCAUGUCUCAUCCAUGCCUAACACUUUCAAAAUGUACACACAAGUUUCUUGCAGUUUUCUUGCACACACCAGUAAAGCUGUUGGAGAAAAGUAAGCCAGAGAGGGUCUCUUUGAUUUUCUUACUGUGAGCACGAAGCAGAAGUCUUCAGAACAAAUGGACUCAAAUUUUUAAGGCAGAAAAAAAGAUGUUUUAACUGAGCUGAAGAGUCUCAUGAGAUGAAAACACAAAUGGGAAUAGUAGAUCAUAUAAGCUAGACACCAUAUAAUUUCUCAGGAACUGUACGACUGUAUACAGACAUUAAGUCUGUAAAUAGUGAAGCUGCCAUCUCUCACAACAGGUCUGUUAACUGGAGAAUCAGGGUAGAAAUGUUUUUCAAACUAGUCUUCAGAACUUACCCUGGGAUUUACAUCACUUCCCUUAUUGGCAGCUAAAAGAAGUAUUACCAGUCAGGUUUUAUUUCUAUAUUUCAUCCAUUAGACUUAGAUAUUCAUCUGUGCAAAAGAUUAAGUCCUUAAUUUAAAUUUAUUUUAUCCCUAUUUUGUCCCUUUUGUACAUUACCUGCAUUUUUCAGCAGUUUGCCGACUUUCCUAGCUUAACCCUUUCUCUUACCAUAUAAACCUUUCCUUAUAAUGGCACUUUGGGUUUUUUGUGGAAGUAAGUCCCCCAUUUUUAUUGUUUAUCUCUAAUAGUCUAGUAAUCAACAUUACAGUGUGUUCCAGACAGGAAAGUGUUUCAAAUAGUGACAUUGUAUUGUGUGCUCAUUGCGUUAUUUUGUGUCUUAAAUGACCAUAAUAUUGUAUUGGAUGUUCUUAAUGACACAAUUGUUUUGCCAAGCCUAAAGCUUGCAUCCAUGUGAAUAUAUUAAAAAUUACUUUGACCUCUUCCUUCUGCAGUAAAAUAUGCUUUGCAUUGCAAAGCAUAUUUUACUGCAAUAAAUUUUGCAAUUAUUUUUGCAAUUAUUUUUAUAAUUUUAUUGUUUCGCAAUUAUUAAAAAAUGCAAUAAUUUUGCAAUUAUUUUUGCAAAAAAAAUAAGCAUUGCAGCAAUGCUGAAUCAUAUGUUUUAAGGCCUUGUAUUUACCAUGUGUGACAUGAAAAGUGAUUUUGGUUAUAAAUACUAGGAAAUAUGAUUGGAAUAUGAUUGGAAAUAAAUAAUUCAGUCUUGGAAAAUAAUUUCUCAAUGCCUAUCAGCUGAAGCCAUGUUUUGCAGCUUCACUGUCUUUUAGUUUCCUCACUUACAUGUUUCAAAUUCAUCCUAAAAUAAAGAGGGUAUAAUUUUUCUUAGUUGAAACCACCAGUAUACAAUUUGAGGUUUAUAUUCCUUUGAGGUCCCUUUGUGGUAUUCCUCUUUUUAAAAAUCUCACAACUCUUCCUGGCUUAAUAAAAAAUCUGCACAUUUCCUCAAUGUGGUGUUUGUUCCCCUUUCUGGAAACUUAAUGAAGUUAUUGAAUAAGGUCAUACGUUUUACUAGUGACUAGUGUCCCAAAGCUUGCAUAUCUGCAGAAAAUAGUAUGUUGUAAACAUAGGUGUGAAUUGUCUUCAUGAUAAUUGUUUUAUAUCCUUCCCUAGACAGAUGUUGUUGAUGCAAAGGAUGUAUUAUGCUGAUUUCUAAGUCAGGGUUUGGCUGUUAUUCUGAACAUAUCCUUCCUUACUUGCUCCACAGUUUGUAGCUAAACACAAUGUCUGCAGGCUGUUUUUUUCAGGAUAUUUUUAGAAUAAAUAAUUGAGAAUUGUAGGAUUGCUUCAACUUGACUCCUACACCUCUUGCAUGCAUAGGAAACAAUUGAGACAAAAUGGAAUGAGUAUCUCAGAAAUGGAAUCGCCAGCCUGCCUGAUGUUCUUUGGUGGUUAUGGGUCAGGUUGAACUGCGGGAGGGAACCAGUAGGAUAUUCCUUUAAAUUAGGUUCAACGAGAGAGAAAUCAACUUCACAUAUGUAUGAAAAGACUGAAGAAACAACUUUUAAAUUUUAGAUUGUAAUCUUUA